UGAAUACGAGAUGCUACGGCAUCGAAGCAGUCUAUGUCAUACUUCCAAGAAAAGCUUGCACUGUCAUAAACAAAUAAUGCCUGUACCAUAACCGACACAGGUGGGUAGGUAGAGUAUACUAAGGGGCGCGAGAUAACUCUCUCUAAGGAACUCGGCAAAAUGACUCCGUAACUUCGGGAGAAGGAGUGCCUUAUUUUAUAAGGUUGCAAUAACAAGAUCCAAGCAACUGUUUACCAAAAACACAGGUCUCCGCUAAGUCGUAAGACGAUGUAUGGGGGCUGACGCCUGCCCAGUGCCAGAAGGUUAAAGAAGUUGGUUAGCAUUAGCGAAGCUGAUAACUGAAGCCCUGGUGAACGGCGGCCGUAACAAUAACGGUCCUAAGGUAGCGAAAUUCCUUGUCGGGUAAGUUCCGACCCGCACGAAAGGCGUAAUGAUUUGGAUACUGUCUCGGAGAGGGGCUCGGUGAAAUAGACUUGUCUGUGAAGAUGCGGACUACCUGCACCAGGACAGAAAGACCCUAUGAAGCUUUACUGUAACUUGAGAUUGAAAUUGGACUUUAUUUGCGCAGUAUAGGUGGGAGACGUUGAAAAUAUUCUUGCGGGAAUAUUGGAGUCAUCAGUGAGAUACCACUCUUAUAAUGUUAGAUUUCUAACUUUGUAUCAUUAUCUGGUCAAAGAACAGUCUCAGGCGGGCAGUUUGACUGGGGCGGUCGCCUCCCAAACGGUAACGGAGGCGCACAAAGGUUUCCUCUGAACGUGUAGAAAUCGUAUCUAGAGUGUAAAGGCAUAAGGAAGCUUGACUGUGAGACCUACAAGUCGAGCAGGGACGAAAGUCGGUCUUAGUGAUCUGACGGUGCUGAGUGGAAAGGCCGUCACUCAACGGAUAAAAGUUACUCUAAGGAUAACAGGCUGAUCUCCCCCAAGAGUUCACAUCGACGGGGAGGUUUGGCACCUCGAUGUCGGCUCAUCGCAUCCUGGGGCGGUAGUACGUCCCAAGGGUUGGGCUGUUCGCCCAUGAAAGCGGUACGCGAGCUGGGUUCAGAACGUCGUGAGACAGUUCGGUCCAUAUCCGGUGUAGGCGUUAGAAUAUUGAGAGGAGCCUUCUUUAGUACGAGAGGACCGAGAAGGACAUACCUCUGGUGUACCAGUUAUCGUGCCAACGGUAAACGCUGGGUAGCUAUGUAUGGAGAGGAUAACCGCUGAAAGCAUCUAAGUGGGAAGCCCACCUCAAGAUAAG
rnacentral:rRNA from 1 species